rnacentral:rRNA from 1 species
UACGUAGGGUGCAAGCGUUAAUCGGAAUUACUGGGCGUAAAGCGCGUGUAGGUGGCGAUGUAAGUCGGGUGUGAAAUCCCUCAGCUUAACUGAGGAAGUGCACUCGAUACUGUGUCGCUUGAGUGUUGGAGGGGAUGGCGGAAUUCCCGGUGUAGAGGUGAAAUUCGUAGAUAUCGGGAGGAACACCUGUGGCGAAGGCGGCCAUCUGGACAACUACUGACACUGAGACGCGAAAGCGUGGGUAGCAAACAGG